rnacentral:tRNA from 1 species
GGAGAGGUGUCCGAGCGGCUUAAGGAGCACGCUUGGAAAGCGUGUAUACACAUUAACGUGUAUCGAGGGUUCGAAUCCCUCUCUCUCCG